GUGGAGUUGAGUUACAGCACCAAGAGCACCCUGGGCUAUAAGGGAACUAGAAUGCAGUUGUUAGCAGCAGCGAAUCUGCAUGGGUCUGCAGCAACCUCAAGUCUCCUCAGAAGAAAGAAUUUGACCAAGGGGCAUAAGGCAGAAGGAGAGACCCGGGCAAGCUUCAGAGCAAGAGUGGAAGUUUAUUAAAAAGCUUCAGAGCAGGAAUGAAAGAAAAGUACACUUGGAAGAGAGCCAAACAGGUGACUUGAGAGAUCAAGUAAAACCUCAUUAACGUAACUGCAACAAUGAAGACAUUACCUAAAGUUCUGAUCUGUGUUUGGUGCUGUGGGGGAAUUAGAAGUGAGUCAUGUGGUCCCUGACCUCAAAGGACUCCAGCACGCAUCCCAUCAAUCUGCAGAAGGAGAGGACAGACUGCAAAAAUGGGACGAGCCUCGGGGCUGGACACAAGUGGCUGGGAAACGUCCGCAGCAGGUCUCAUUCCCCGGGAGGCGAGGAUGAAAAUUACAGGUGACACAUGGGUCAAUGGCCUGUCUCCUGACUCAAGACACACAAGGAAGAGACUCUUUGAAGCCUCAGGAGCAGACACUCAAUUGGAUAGCGCCUGGGAUUUGAAGGUCUGCCAUAGAGUCCGAAGAGAGGGGGAAAACACACGCAAACCACCCAAUCACAGGGACCCCUGUGGCUCCUCACCCACCCUCCACCCUCCACCUUCCACUUAUUCCACUCCUCUCGAUUGUCAAUUAAAAUAAACAGCCUUGUAUUCC
rnacentral:lncRNA from 10 species